rnacentral:lncRNA from 1 species
CGUGCGAGGCACUGCCCUAAGGCGUAUUCCCGUCCUUACGUGCGGGAUUAAUCGGAAAUAACACCCCAAGGUACGACCGGAAUUCCUCCUCCUGCGAGCACGAUCGUGAAGGAGGUUGACGAAGAUUCUCAACACCCAGUAGAUAAGAAGAAUAUUCAAAUAGUAAAAGAUAAGAGAUGAAUAGAUAAAGAUUAAUAAAAUUAUCUAAAUCUCAUUCUCUACUACUCUGUCAGUAACAGAGGAGAAGAAAGGAAGGGAAUUUAACGCUCUUUCUCGUUACGAGAAAAAGACGUAUUCCACGCAACGGAAGGGAAUUCCGUUUGGCGUAAGAAACGGAACGGAAAAAUAUUCCGUUAGUUUCUUACGCAUUAAGAAAGAGAAUAAAAAUAAAUAAAUAAAUAAAAUUAAAUAAGUAAAUAAUAAAAUAAUAAAUAAUGAUAAAUAAUAAAUAAAUAAUUUAAAANUCUAAUAAAUUUAUGUCUCAAAAUAAUUUACCUGCCAAUCUUAGAAUUUGCAAAAUUCGUUUCCAAGAUGAACACUAGGAUAAAAUCACGAGAGUAAUUAUAAUAUCAAAAUUUAUUAAACUGGUAAAAGAGUAACCCCCACAAGUUUUGAAAUAUAUCAGAAUUUAAAAAAAUAUGGCCUUAAUCAUGUCUAAUAGAAUUUGGGUCAACAACAAAUAGAUGGCACAAACAAAAUAAAAUGAUAUACUUUAACCAAUGUAUAAAAUACUUAGAUGUAACAAAUGUAGUGACAACUAAGAGAUAGUAUUAUAGGUUAGGUGAUGCUGGUACGAACGCAUCCGUACACAUAAACUAAAUUUAGUGUAGCAAACUCUCCUUAAUUUACUGUGGCAAAUUCUCCUUUUUUUUUUUACCAAAGAAUUUUUACUGUAGCAAAACUUUUAAGCCGUACAAUAUAAAAAAUAAUUUUACAGUUUUACUGUAGCAAAACUUUUAAGCCGUACACUAUAAAAAAUAAUUUUACAGUAGCUCUUUUUUUUUUCCUUUUUUUUUUCUUUUAUUUUUUUUUUUUUAAACAGCAGUAUAGUGCAAUAAAAAAAAUUAUAAAUAAGAUGAUUUGCAAUUUAAAUUAUAAACAUAUGCAAUUUACAAUUUAAAUGCUAAUCUCAAAAUAUUUAACUUUGAAUGACCAAUAUAUGUCAAGCAAAAAAAUUUUUCAAAAUUUUUUUUACUGUAGCAAAACUCAAAACAGUAUACAGAAAACUGUAACAAAAACUCUUUUCCUUUUUUUUUUUUCAAAAAAUAGUAUAUAUAUAUAAAUUAAACUUUAAGAAAAUCCUUACACUUAAAAUAUCUUUCACUGUCGCAACUUGUUUAACUUUUUAAAUGUAUGUACUGUAGCAAUUUUUUUUAAAAAAAAAACAACCCGUACAAUGUCUGUAUAGAAAACAAAAUAAUUCCACAAUUUUUUUUUAUCAAGACAGUAAAAUAUAUAUCUGUAUAUAUAUAUAUUUUUUCUCACAAAUAGUAUAUUUAUAUAAAUAAAUUAAACUUAAAACUUAAAAAACCGCACACUUAAAAAAUAAUUACAGUAGCAAACAUUUUUAAUCCGUACAAGUGGUUUUUUUUUUUUAUAACAAAACAGUAAAACUUUUUUUUUUUAAAGGGUUUUACAAUAGCAAAACUCAAACAGUACAUAAAUAGAAUUUUAUUUACUGUAGCAAAAAAAAAUCCACCCUUUUGGAUCCGUAGGUAAAAAAAAAAUUAAUAAUAAUAAAAAAAAGAUAAUAAUUUGCAGAUAAACAAUAUCCGAUUAGAAUUUCAAAAUGCUAAUCCAACUUAUUUAAAUUUGAAUGACAAACAUACAAGCAAGUUGUCAAACAGAAUUAUACGCAAAAUAUAUAUGUAUAUAUUUUAAUAGAUUAGUACCGUCAGAUUUAAUCACAAUCAGAUAGGGAUCUACGCCUUAGAUUGUUAGAACAAAUACCGCAAAGAAAAUCUGAUUGUGAUUAAUAUCUAACUAAUUUUGUAAUAAGAAUAAAAUCAAACUUACAGAUAAACGCAAAUAUCCAAAUAAUGAUUUGAUCUUAUCCGGAAGCGUGCGAGGCACUGCCCUAAGGCGUAUUCCCGUCCUUACGUGCGGGAUUAAUCGGAAAUAACACCCCAAGGUACGACCGGAAUUCCUCCUCCUGCGAGCACGAUCGUGAAGGAGGUUGACGAAGAUUCUCAACACCCAGUAGAUAAGAAGAAUAUUCAAAUAGUAAAAGAUAAGAGAUGAAUAGAUAAAGAUUAAUAAAAUUAUCUAAAUCUCAUUCUCUACUACUCUGUCAGUAACAGAGGAGAAGAAAGGAAGGGAAUUUAACGCUCUUUCUCGUUACGAGAAAAAGACGUAUUCCACGCAACGGAAGGGAAUUCCGUUUGGCGUAAGAAACGGAACGGAAAAAUAUUCCGUUAGUUUCUUACGCAUUAAGAAAGAGAAUAAAAAUAAAUAAAUAAAUAAAAUUAAAUAAGUAAAUAAUAAAAUAAUAAAUAAUGAUAAAUAAUAAAUAAAUAAUUUAAAAUUCAAAUAGAAUAAAAUUCAAAUUUUAAAAUUUUGAGUUUUUUU